UGGACUGUGAUGAUUGACGCAGAGGUACCAAACUCAGCAGAAUCGUCGAAGCUAAAUAAAUGUAUGUUUUUGCCUUUGUCCUGAAUGUGGCAGGUUAAUGCAAGCAACUACAUGAGGCAGAUGCCUUAAUCUGAGCCUG